AUGAUGCACAUGGACAAUUCAAGAACCAAACAAUCGAUUAUUCAAGUAUUUCAAUUCACAAAUGAACUAAAACCAAAGAAACUCAUGCCAUUAUUCAAACCAAAAUCAAAACAUAGAAAAUUGAUUUUGAAACAAGCUAAGAUCAAACAAAAUCAAAUCCGGACAGCAACUAAUGCAUAUGAAACAAUGUUCAAAAACUCAAUCUCAAAAGUAUUCAAAACAAGUAAAAUACGCAACGAUGCUUAUCACAAUCAAAGGCAUAACAUCAACAAACUUCAGAAAACCAAAACAUCACAACUUCUACAAUCAUCGUAA